rnacentral:rRNA from 1 species
GAAACGGUAGCUAAUACCGCAUAACGUCGCAAGACCAAAGAGGGGGACCUUCGGGCCUCUUGCCAUCGGAUGUGCCCAGAUGGGAUUAGCUAGUAGGUGGGGUAAAGGCUCACCUAGGCGACGAUCCCUAGCUGGUCUGAGAGGAUGACCAGCCACACUGGAACUGAGACACGGUCCAGACUCCUACGGGAGGCAGCAGUGGGGAAUAUUGCACAAUGGGCGCAAGCCUGAUGCAGCCAUGCCGCGUGUAUGAAGAAGGCCUUCGGGUUGUAAAGUACUUUCAGCGGGGAGGAAGGGAGUAAAGUUAAUACCUUUGCUCAUUGACGUUACCCGCAGAAGAAGCACCGGCUAACUCCGUGCCAGCAGCCGCGGUAAUACGGAGGGUGCAAGCGUUAAUCGGAAUUACUGGGCGUAAAGCGCACGCAGGCGGUUUGUUAAGUCAGAUGUGAAAUCCCCGGGCUCAACCUGGGAACUGCAUCUGAUACUGGCAAGCUUGAGUCUCGUAGAGGGGGGUAGAAUUCCAGGUGUAGCGGUGAAAUGCGUAGAGAUCUGGAGG